rnacentral:rRNA from 1 species
UAUGAACUAAACCUGUGAGUCUUGUAGCAAUACAAGGCAUACGGCUCAGUAACACGUAGCCAAUCUAACCUAUGGACGGGGAUAACCUCGGGAAACUGAGGAUAAACCCCGAUAGAUCAUUAUGCCUGGAAAGGUUUAUGGUCCAAAUGAUUCGUCGCCGUAGGAUGAGACUGCGGCCUAUCAUCUUGUUGGUGAGGUAAUGGCCCAGCCAAGGCUAUUACAGGUACGGGCUCUGAGAGGAGAAGCCCGGAGAUGGGUACUGAGACACGGACCCAGGCCCUAUGGGGCGCAGCAGGCGAGGAAACCUUUGCAAUGUGCGCAAGCACGACAAGGUUAAUCCGAGUGUUUCCUGCUAAAGGGAAUCUUUUGCUAGUCCUAGAAACACUAGUGAAUAAGGGGGUGGGGAAAGUUCUUGGUGGCAUGCCGAGGCAGGAUAAACCAGGACCUGAAGGUGGGUCAGGGAGGAUUAUUUGGGCCUAAAGCAUGGCGUAGCUUAGGUCGUGUAGGUGUACCGGGAAAUCCAUAAACUCAGCUUAGUGGCCUGCCAGAAUAUUGCAGGCUAGGNGUAGGAAAAGUAGCCGGUUCUUCCAGAGGAAUGGAGAAAUCCGUUGGUGUUAUUUAGGACCGCCUGUGG